UACGGAGGGUGCAAGCGUUAUCCGGAUUUACUGGGCUUAAAGGGUGUGCAGGCGGUCUUUUAAGUCAGAGGUGAAAUCUCCGGGCUCAACCUGGAAACUGCCAUUGAUACUAUUAGUCUUGAAUUUUGUUGAGGUAGGCGGAAUAAGUCAUGUAGCGGUGAAAUGCAUAGAUAUGACUUAGAACACCAAUUGCGAAGGCAGCUUGCUAAACAAAUAUUGACGCUGAGGCACGAAAGCGUGGGGAUCAAACAGG
rnacentral:rRNA from 1 species